ACCUAAUGAUAAAUCUAUAAUGUAAUAAUGGAAAGAAUCGGCUUGUACACGUAGGGGAUUGGAUAUUUUUCAAUGACGCAUCAUCCCCAGGAGACGUCUCCACCGUUCAGCUGCUUUGGGAUAAUACAUAUUAUAAUUUGAAUGAAUUUAUGAUUGAUGAUUCAAAUUUUUAUUGAAAGUGGUCAUAUUUUUGUUUUUUUAUUUGACCACUCUACAUUAAGAUUGUACACAAUAAUAAUAAUGUGGGUCUGUUUUUGCAGUUGCUUGGUAUGGAUUGUAAGACACAGAAGAAGACGCAUUUAGAUGUUUUUGGAUCUUGAAUCUUGAUGCUCACAGAAAAGCAAGUCAACCAGACAGGCUCUGAAAAUUGAUGAAAUGGAACAAAUUAUUUGGACAAGACACUAGAAAAAUUGUACUCGGUCGGUUUUGAAAUCAUACCUCAAGAAACUUGCGAGAUCUUCGUCUGCACUGCACUAGCAUUUUAGGUAACUAUCCGAAUAGCCUACUAUUUUGUAUUCAUUUCAGUGACAAAUUUUCAUUUGUACCGUAAAUGAAUAAAUGAAUAUCACAACUGAAAUAGAGAGCAAACCUUUGUUUAGGAGGAAAUUAAAAGACUCGAAUAGUGCUUUUACAGUGCUACAGAACUUUUCGAAUCAAGACAAGUUGAACUCAUGAUUGCUGUGUUCAGAAAUAAAAGUAUUAAUUCAACAUCAUA